rnacentral:piRNA from 1 species
UGGAACCCAAAAUAUGGGAACAAGGUCAGUG